UCAGGCUUCCACUAGCAGUCUUCAGAUGAAGAUGUAGAACUCUCAGCCCCGCCUGUACCACACCUGCCUAGAUGUUGCUAUGUUCCACCUUGAUAAUGGACAGAACCUCUGAAAUUGUUUCUCUCCCGUUGAAGCCACUAAAAUGGGCUGCUCUGCUUCCAGCACUAACUCCCCGUAAUGGCUAUUCCUGG